CGUUCUUUGUUGGUCCCAUUAUUAGCUACUAUUUUUUCUUAAGUUUUUCUUAAGUUUGUUUUAUUCUUUAUGUUUAUUUUUAACCAAAAUGUCUAUUGCUUUGCUUUUUGUUUAUUAUGAAAAAACUCUAUAUUCUUAACUUCUACUUACAGGUAUCAUAGAUAAAUAAUACUACUAAUACUAAUAAUAAUAAUGGAUUCAGAUGAGACGAUGGACAUUGAAAGAUUACUUUUAAAUUCUCAAGAGCCUAAAGAAAACAGUAUACAAGAGAACGUAUUAGCUAACAAAGAUAACCAGAAGAGUGAGGAGAGUGAGAAGGAUGG